ensembl:lncRNA
AUAUGUUAGAUCAUUUUGUGCGGCUGGAGCUGGACUAUUAUGUCAUGACUUUUGGUGUUUAUGACUUUUAUAGUUUUUGAAAUAUUUAGAUUUUAGUGCAAAUUUAGGCCAAUUCAUCUUUUGGCGCCAAAUAAACAGACUUCAUUUGUGGUGUGUGGGCGCCAUCUUUUGGUCCCAUUGAAACAAAUUUCAAACUUCAUUUGUGGUGUGUUGGCUCUCUCUAGUGGUAUGCCGGGAGUGGUACAGCCUGUCUACCCUUAUUUGGAUACCGUAAUGAUGACAAUAUCAAUGGCGCGCACAGCCUCGCUGCUUUCAGGAACCAUUGGAGGUUUUAAGGUUGCGCGAACCAUUGAAUACUUACGGUAAACACAAUGGCUUCUAUGCUUGGUGGAAAACUCCAUAUCCCACAAUUCAUAGCACACCUCUGCCGAGUUAAACAAUGGCGGCCACCACUUCGUUUUAUAUGUCUUUUAUUAGUGUUUCUAGGUCACAAAAUAAACUUUUAAGAUAUUUUCAGGCGAGAAUGUAGGUGUGUAAACUUCAAAUAUCUGCUUGUUUUAUCAUAUUAGCGACAGUGCUCUGACGACCUCGGUCCUGCCUGACAGCUAGCCGGCUACCUAGCUAGCUGCCGCACUUGGCUGCAAAUGCACAGCGAGGGGACUCUCUCUCUCUCCUUUCACCUCUCGCAAAUGCUCGCACAGAAUCGGAGUUACAGCUGGAUGUGGAAAAAAUAACUGAGUUGUUUGGUGGUGCUAUAAUGCGGAGCUACAACAGUGGGCAGCUAUCCACCGUGUAUGAC